UACGUAGGGUGCAAGCGUUGUCCGGAAUCAUUGGGCGUAAAGAGCGUGUAGGCGGCUCGGUAAGUCCGCUCUGAAAGCCCGGGGCUCAACCCCGGGAGGCGGGCGGAUACUGUCGGGCUAGAGUCCGGAAGAGGCGAGUGGAAUUCCUGGUGUAGCGGUGAAAUGCGCAGAUAUCAGGAGGAACACCAAUGGCGAAGGCAGCUCGCUGGGACGGUACUGACGCUGAGACGCGAAAGCGUGGGGAGCAAACAGG
rnacentral:rRNA from 1 species